ACGCUCACCUACGGGGGCAGCAGUAGGGAAUCUUCCACAAUGGGCGCAAGCCUGAUGGAGCAACACCGCGUGAGUGAAGAAGGGUUUCGGCUCGUAAAGCUCUGUUGUUGGAGAAGAACGUGCGUGAGAGUAACUGUUCACGCAGUGACGGUAUCCAACCAGAAAGUCACGGCUAACUACGUGCCAGCAGCCGCGGUAAUCUGAGGCGGGCGUGGCAAGGC
rnacentral:rRNA from 1 species